GGCGGCGUGCUUAAUACAUGCAAGUCGAACGAAGCACGUUUCAGCAGAGUCCCCUCGGGGUGAAGCCGGUUGUGACUUAGUGGCGGACGGGUGAGUAACGCGUGGGUAACCUGCCUUAUACAGGGGGAUAACAGUUAGAAAUGACUGCUAAUACCCCAUAAGCGCACGGCACCGCAUGAUGCAGUGUGAAAAGAUUUUAUCGGUAUAAGAUGGACCCGCGUCUGAUUAGUUAGUUGGCGAGGUAACGGCCCACCAAGACGACGAUCAGUAGCCGACUUGAGAGAGUGAUCGGCCACAUUGGGACUGAGACACGGCCCAGACUCCUACGGGAGGCAGCAGUAGGGAAUAUUGCACAAUGGGGGAAACCCUGAUGCAGCGACGCCGCGUGAGUGAAGAAGUAUUUCGGUAUGUAAAGCUCUAUCAGCAGGGAAGAUAAUGACGGUACCUGCAUAAGAAGCCCCGGCUAACUACGUGCC
rnacentral:rRNA from 1 species